rnacentral:rRNA from 1 species
GACGAACGCUGGCGGCGUGCCUAAUACAUGCAAGUAGAACGCUGAAGAGAGGAGCUUGCUCUUCUUGGAUGAGUUGCGAACGGGUGAGUAACGCGUAGGUAACCUGCCUUGUAGCGGGGGAUAACUAUUGGAAGCGAUAGCUAAUACCGCAUAACAAUGGAUGACACAUGUCAUUUAUUUGAAAGGGGCAAUUGCUCCACUACAAGAUGGACCUGCGUUGUAUUAGCUAGUAGGUGAGGUAACGGCUCACCUAGGCGACGAUACAUAGCCGACCUGAGAGGGUGAUCGGCCACACUGGGACUGAGACACGGCCCAGACUCCUACGGGAGGCAGCAGUAGGGAAUCUUCGGCAAUGGGGGCAACCCUGACCGAGCAACGCCGCGUGAGUGAAGAAGGUUUUCGGAUCGUAAAGCUCUGUUGUAAGUCAAGAACGAGUGUGAGAGUGGAAAGUUCACACUGUGACGGUAGCUUACCAGAAAGGGACGGCUAACUACGUGCCAGCAGCCGCGGUAAU